rnacentral:rRNA from 1 species
CCUACGGGGGGCAGCAGUGGGGGAUAUUGCACAAUGGAGGAAACUCUGAUGCAGCGACGCCGCGUGAGGGAAGACGGUCUUCGGAUUGUAAACCUCUGUCUUUGGGGAAGAAAAUGACGGUACCCAAAUAGGAAGCUCCGGCUAACUACGUGCCAGCAGCCGCGGUAAUACGUAGGGAGCGAGCGUUGUCCGGAUUUACUGGGUGUAAAGGGAGCGUAGACGGGCGAGAAAGUUGAAUGUUAAAUCUACGGGCUUAACUGGUGGCUGCGUUAGAAACUUUUUGUCUUGAGUUAAGUAGAGGUAGGCGGAAUUCCGAGUGUAGCGGUGAAAUGCGUAGAUAUUAGGAGGAACACCAGUGGCGAAGGCGGCCUGCUGGGCUUUAACUGACGCUGAGGCUCGAAAGCGUGGGGAGCAAACAGGAUUAGAUACCCGUGUAGUC